rnacentral:tRNA from 1 species
UGGCUCAGUUGGUGUUUGCAAUGAGCAUGGUGUUUGCAAUGCCAGGGUUGUGGGUUCGAUUCCCAC